CAGUAGCCGCGGGAAUACGUAGGGCGCAAGCGUUAUCCGGAAUUAUUGGGCGUAAAGAGCUCGUAGGCGGUUUGUCGCGUCUGCCGUGAAAGUCCGGGGCUCAACCCCGGAUCUGCGGUGGGUACGGGCAGACUAGAGUGAUGUAGGGGAGACUGGAAUUACUGGUGUAGCGGUGAAAUGCGCAGAUAUCAGGAGGAACACCGAUGGCGAAGGCAGGUCUCUGGGCAUUAACUGACGCUGAGGAGCGAAAGCAUGGGGAGCGAACAGGAUUAGAUACCCCCAGUAGUCCCUGUCUCUUAUA
rnacentral:rRNA from 1 species